rnacentral:rRNA from 1 species
CCUACGGGCGGCAGCAGUGAGGAAUAUUGGUCAAUGGACGGAAGUCUGAACCAGCCAUGCCGCGUGCAGGAAGACGGCUCUAUGAGUUGUAAACUGCUUUUGUACAAGGGUAAACCUGAAUACGUGUAUUCAGCUGAAAGUACUGUACGAAUAAGGAUCGGCUAACUCCGUGCCAGCAGCCGCGGUAAUACGGAGGAUCCAAGCUGUGUCCGGAUUGAGUGGGUUUAAAGGGUGCGUAGGCGGAUUGAUAAGUUCGAUGUGAACUGUCCGAGCUUAACUCGGGAACUGCCUCUAAUACUGUUGAUCUAGAGAGUAGAUGCGGUAGGCGGAAUGUAUGGUGUAGCGGUGAAAUGCUUAGAGAUCAUACAGAACACCGAUUGCGAAGGCAGCUUACCAAUCUAUAUCUGACGUUGAGGCACGAAAGCGUGGGGAGCAAACAGGAUUAGAUACCCUAGUAGUC